rnacentral:lncRNA from 1 species
CUCACAUUCUUUGGUGAGGUCUAAUCUGGAGAUAGAGUGUCUCACAUUCUUUGGUAAGAUCUAAUCUGAAGAUCUGGUGUUUGACAUCAGGUUGUCCUAAUUUGGUCAGAAUUUUUAUGGCCUUAGCGUGACUUUUUCUGACCUCGUUUUGAAGGAGAAGGAGAAGAGUCUAGAUCUGGAAGAUGCAGGUGGAGAAGGAAGAUGCGGGUGGAGGAGAAGGAGAAGGAGAAGACUAGAUUCGGAUCUCCCUGGAUUCUAAACUAGAGAAUCGUGAGCACAAUAAAUGGGAGGAG